rnacentral:rRNA from 1 species
UGCCUCAGUAGCGGCGAGUGAAGCGGCAAAAGCUCAAAUUUGAAAUCUGGCGUCUUUGGCGUCCGAGUUGUAAUUUGAAGAAGGUAUCUUUGGGCCCGGCUCUUGUCUAUGUUCCUUGGAACAGGACGUCACAGAGGGUGAGAAUCCCGUGCGAUGAGAUGACCCGGGUCUGUGUAAAGUUCCUUCGACGAGUCGAGUUGUUUGGGAAUGCAGCUCUAAGUGGGUGGUAAAUUCCAUCUAAAGCUAAAUAUUGGCGAGAGACCGAUAGCGAACAAGUACAGUGAUGGAAAGAUGAAAAGAACUUUGAAAAGAGAGUGAAAAAGUACGUGAAAUUGUUGAAAGGGAAGGGCUUGAGAUCAGACUUGGUAUUUUGCAUGCUGCUCUCUCGGGGGCGGCCGCUGCGGUUUACCGGGCCAGCAUCGGUUUGGAGCGGCAGGAUAAUGGCGGAGGAAUGUGGCACGGCUUCUGCUGUGUGUUAUAGCCUCUGACGAUACUGCCAGCCUAGACCGAGGACUGCGGUUUUUACCUAGGAUGUUGGCAUAAUGAUCUUAAGUCGCCCGUCUUGAAACACGGACCAAGGAGUCUAACGUCUAUGCGAGUGUUUGGGUGUAAAACCCGUACGCGUAAUGAAAGUGAACGAAGGUGGGGGCCCAUUAGGGUGCACCAUCGACCGAUCCUGAUGUGUUCGGAUGGAUUUGAGUAAGAGCAUAGCUGUUGGGACCCGAAAGAUGGUGAACUAUGCCUGAAUAGGGUGAAGCCAGAGGAAACUCUGGUGGAGGCUCGUAGCGGUUCUGACGUGCAAAUCGAUCGUCGAAUUUGGGUAUA